rnacentral:rRNA from 1 species
GUGGGGAAUUUUGGACAAUGGGCGCAAGCCUGAUCCAGCAAUGCCGCGUGCAGGAAGAAGGCCUUCGGGUUGUAAACUGCUUUUGUACGGAACGAAACGGCUCUGGUUAAUACCCGGGGCUAAUGACGGUACCGUACGAAUAAGCACCGGCUAACUACGUGCCAGCAGCCGCGGUAAUACGUAGGGUGCAAGCGUUAAUCGGAAUUACUGGGCGUAAAGCGUGCGCAGGCGGUUGUGUAAGACAGGCGUGAAAUCCCCGGGCUCAACCUGGGAGGUGCGCUUGUGACUGCACAGCUGGAGUGCGGCAGAGGGGGAUGGAAGUCCGCGUGUAGCAGUGAAAUGCGUAGAUAUGCGGAGGAACACCGAUGGCGAAGGCAAUCCCCUGGGCCUGCACUGACGCUCAUGCACGAAAGCGUGGGGAGCAAACAGGAUUAGAUACCCCAGUAGUCC